UGAGGAAUAUUGGGCAAUGCCCGCAAGGGUGACCCAGCAACGCCGCGUGGAGGAUGAAUGUCGUAAGAUUGUAAACUCCUGUUAGAGGGGAAGAAUAGUACCGGUUGGACCGGUAUAUGACUGUACCCUCAGAGAAAGCCCCGGCUAACUACGUGCCAGCAGCCGCGGUAAUACGUAGGGGGCAAGCGUUGUCCGGACUUACUGGGUGUAAAGGGCGCGCAGGCGGGAUAAAAAGUCAGUGGUGAAAUCCUACAGCUUAACUGUAGAACUGCCUUUGAUACUUUUAUUCUUGAGUUCGGGAGAGAGAGACGGAAUUCCAGGUGUAGUGGUGAAAUACGUAGAUAUCUGGAAGAACACCAGUUGCGAAGGCGGUCUCUUGGUCCGACACUGACGCUGAGGCGCGAAAGCGUGGGGAGCAAACA
rnacentral:rRNA from 1 species